AUUUUAACACCAACAGUUUAAAUAUCCCACCUGAGUCGGACAUAUUUGGAGAAUGUUUCCAGUUUGCCUGUUUUAGCCUAAAAAUUGCAAUUCUCUUGUUACCUCUGUCUUCAUGGACUCCGAUUUAAAAAGCUGAUUAAGAAAUGAUCUAGAAGCUCACUUGAAACAUAUCUGCAUUUUUCCUUACGGCUACAACACAUGUUCAGGUCAUG